CCUACGGGAGGCAGCAGUGGGGAAUAUUGGGCAAUGGGCGCAAGCCUGACCCAGCAAUGCCGCGUGAAGGAAGAAGGCCUUCGGGUUGUAAACUUCUUUGACAGGGGAAGAGCAGAAGACGGUACCCUGAAAACAAGCCACGGCUAACUACGUGCCAGCAGACGCGGUAAUACGUAGGUGGCAAGCGUUGUCCGGAUUUACUGGGUGGAAAGGGCGGGUAGGCGGGAAGGCAAGUCAGAUGUGAAAUCCGGGGGCUCAACCUCGGAAUUGCCUUUGAAACUGUUUUUCUUGAGUGCUGGAGAGGCAGGCGGAAUUCCUGGUGUAGCGGUGAAAUGCGUAGAUAUAAGGAGGAACACCAGUGGCGAAGGCGGUCUGCUGGACAGCAACUGACGGUGAGGCGCGAAAGCGUGGGGAGCAAACAGGAUUAGAUACCCCAGUAGUC
rnacentral:rRNA from 1 species